rnacentral:lncRNA from 1 species
GCGCAAUCGUCGGCCACAGCGGCGUCCGUCCACUCAUCGAAAUCUGCCAGACCGGGGACUCCAUCUCGCAAUCCGCGGCGGCGGGCGCGCUCAAGAACCUCUCCGCGGUGCCGGAGGUCCGGCAAGCGCUGGCCGAGGAAGGCAUCGUGCGCGUGAUGAUCAGCCUGCUCGACCGCGGCGUCGUGCUGGGCUCCAAGGAGUACGCGGCGGAGUGCCUGCAGAACUUCACGUCCAGCAACGACAACCUGCGGCGCGCCGUGGUGUCCGAGGGCGCGCUGCCCAGCCUGCUCGCCUACCUCGACGGCCCGCUGCCGCAGGAGUCCGCCGUGGGCGCGCUCCGCAACCUCGUCUCUGCCGUCUCGCCGGACAACCUCGUGUCGCUCGGCGUGCUCCCGCGGCUCGCGCACGUGCUCCGCGACGGCUCCGUGGGCGCGCAGCAGGCGGCCGCGGCUGCCAUCUGCAGGAUCUCCAGCUCCCCGGAGAUGAAGCGGCUGGUGGGCGACCACGGGUGCAUGCCGCUGCUGGUGCGGCUGCUGGAGGCCAAGUCGAGCGGCGCGCGGGAGGUGGCGGCGCAGGCGACGGCGACCCUGAUGAGCUGCCCGGCGAACGCGAGGGACGUGAAGAAGGACGAGAAGAGCGUGCCGAACCUGGUGCAGCUGCUGGACCCGAGCCCGGGGAACACGGCCAAGAAGUACGCCAUCUCCUGCCUCCUGGCGCUGUCGGCGAGCAAGCGGUGCAAGAAGCUGAUGAUCGCGCAGGGCGCCAUCGGGUACCUGAAGAAGCUCUCCGAGAUGGACGUCGCCGGCGCCAAGAAGCUGCUCGAGAAGCUGGAGCGUGGCAAGCUGCGCACCCUGUUCACUAGGAAGUAAAGCAAGGAGAAGCGUUCUGUUUUGCCGUGAACCUGUAAAAAGAGCCGCCGUCCUGUGUUCAUAGCCUCUAUGAAGGCAGUGCAGACUGCAGAGAGUGGUACUGUUGUUGCCGAUUUGAACCUUUUAACAUACCUCGCGUUGUAGUAUCGCUGGUUAAUGUGCAUGUCACCUAUGUCAGGCAGUCGAUGCAUUAGUUCUUUAACUUAGGCUGAAGAAUGCCAAUAAAAGAGUGUU